UCAAAAAUUUAUUGCAUUGUAAUCAGAGAACAGUUUCAUUUAUUUUGUGUUCAUGUACAAAUGGACAAAACUAAUGAAUAGGAGGACAGCGUUGCCGGCCUUUAAGGAAGCUGUAUGCGCUUUUUUUGAAGGUACCCAUGUCGUAUCAUCCCGUAAACUCUGCACAAGGAGCUCAUUCCACAGCAUUGUAGUACAUGGAAGAAAGCUCCUUGAAAACCGCACUGUGGAGGACCGGCACACAUCCAAAUGGUGGGGAUGAUAUCUUAACUUGUGGCGAGUCGUACAAUGGUGGAAUUUGGAGGCAGGAAUCAGGUUAAACAGCUCUUCGGAACACUCCCCGUGAUAAAUGUGGUAGAAGACACACAAUGAAGUGACAUCUCAACGCCAAGUGAUCCAGACGAUCUCACAGCACUGGGUCCCCGACAAUUCGAGCUGCUCUGCAUUGCAUGCGGUCUAAGGGAUCGAGCUGAUACUGAUUUACAUAAAAAUAUGUUUGUUCUUACCCUACCAAAGCCGAUGUGUGCACAGCAAUAUCUGGCAUGCUUGACUCUGGUUAGGAACAUUAAUUAACAUUCUGUGUAAGAUGUCCAGUCAAUUUGGCUGUAUAUCCAAGGGUUGAAUGUAACAGUAUUCAACUACAUAGAUAAAUAUCUAAGUUUUGAAUGAAACAGUUUUGCCUCAUACUAAUCUAUAUAUAUAAAAAUGAAUUGCUGUUUGUAAGUCUCGCUAAAACUCGAGAACGGCUGGACCGAUUUGGCUAAUUUAGGUCUUGAAUUAUUUGUGGAAGUCCAGGGAAGGUGUAAAACGCACACACAAUGUAUAAGAAUAUGAGGUCCAUACUUCAGGUAUUGAGUUUUGGAAUUGGAGCUAUGUUCAAACAACAUUCACAAGACUGGUCCAAUCAGAAGGUUGUGUACCUGACCUGCUUAAUAAGGAGCCAAGAAGAAGAGAAAAAUUAUGCUUUCAAAAAUUCAAUAAUAUCUCACCUGAUAUUAAAAGAAACAAUGGUAUGGCUGAAGUGAUGGUGUGAACAAAGAAGCCAGUCAAUAGAAGAAUAUGAUCUGACACAAUUAAAGGUUCUUCAUAGAGGUGAGGAGGUCCAUUCGCUGAGGCAGUAGCAACAUAUGCAGACCUUUACUCCAAUGUUAAAAUUGAGAAACAACAGUAAGAAAAAGAGAUCCUGAAGAAACUGAAGAAUUGGUAAUCAAAGAGAAGCCAUUUGAAAUGAAGAAUAUGGCAUAACACAAUUGAAAGGUGACUGGUAACUAUUACCUACAAUGAAGCCACUCUACUCUCUUGUGAUCAGUUAUGAGAUGAAUUUGCAAAUACAUACAUCAGUGUUGCCAAGGAAAAUGACUACGCCCGUUUUGGCAUCAUAACUAGGACAGCAUGAUAAUAGGAUGGGUGGAAAAAGUACAUCACUAUCCAUACAAGGUUGGCAAAAAAUCAUGAAUUGAAAUGUUUAUCUAUCAUGGCAUCAUUUUUCAGGUUCCGUGAAAAAAAAAAUGUGCAGAUUUGGAGACGUCGGAGCCUGCUUUCCAAUUAGUAUUAUGAAAGUUGAUUUGGCUUAUUUUUGCCAAAGCUAGCCACCACGCACGCGGCGGCGUGGGAGCCUUGAAUAACUUCUGUAAGGAGAAAUAAUUAAUGUUUGUUUACCAAAUAAAGAUCUUUCUCAUAAA